GCCCGCCUAGCUCAAUCGGAUAGAGCGUCAGACUUUUACGAUCAUUCGGGUGAAAGCAGUAAUAUCUGAAGGCUGCGAGUUCGACCCUCGCGGUGGGCU